UACGGGGGGGGCAAGCGUUGUUCGGAAUUACUGGGCGUAAAGGGCUCGUAGGCGGCCAACUAAGUCAGACGUGAAAUCCCCAGGCUCAACCUGGGAACUGCGUCUGAUACUGGAUGGCUUGAAUCCGGGAGAGGGAUGCAGAAUUCCAGGUGUAGCGGUGAAAUGCGUAGAUAUCUGGAGGAAUACCGGUGGCGAAGGCGGCAUCCUGGACCGGCAUUGACGCUGAGGAGCGAAAGCCAGGGGAACAAACGGG
rnacentral:rRNA from 1 species